CUGACAGUCUCCAUUGUUCAAUGGUUAUAUCUCCAAAACUAUGUCUCUACAUCUGCACACAAAAUUCACGUGCUAAUUUUUGUUAUAAUAGCAAAUAAUGCAAACUUAACUUAUAGUUGCAUAUGACUUUGAGAGAGUGUUGGCCACUGUUCUUACUAGCUGCCUUUGUGCCCUGCAGAUUAUGAAUGAUGAAUGAAUAUAAACCGAGAGAGCAAGGUGGUCAGGAAGAUGCUCUUUUUUCACCCACCCAUCUUUUAGAGGGAGAUGUGAAUGAUGACAUGGAGCAGGAAAACAAACCGUACACUUGUCCUGAGGAAUUUACAGUCUCUACAGAUGAACAAUAUGCAGAAUCUGGAGGAACUGACACGCAUCCUUUUCACCAUCAAGCUCGUCCCUUACUCAAAGCAAUUCUUCAUAUACUGGAUCUGAACAGACCAAGUUUAGCAGAAAGGUCCCCAUAGCAGUACCUCAGAGGAGAAGUAAAAACAUUCCUCCUUCUCCACUCAUAUUCAAAAUAUGAGGGAAACAUGGAGGAAGUCAAAUAACAGGGAAAACCAAUGAGACUUCAGGAAGAGAAAAUAAGAUACGAGAAAAAGAAACAUCCCAGCUCCAGUUGGGGGGUUUUGGAGCCUUACCGACAAGGAAGAAGUCUAGCACUAUUUAAACAAGAUUGUUACAGUAACACCAUGGAAAACCAAUGACAACUACUUGCUUAAUGUGGAAUUAACCUAAAAGCACUAGUCUUCAAUGAGAAUGCCAGUCUGUGUCAGAGACUAACACAAGCAACCAUUUCAGUCAAAAGAGUUUAGUGCAAGAUUCACCUCAUCCUAACAUAAAUGCCCACAUUUGAUCAAAUGAAACUCUGUGGACUGUGUAGAUUUGAUCUCCCCAGCUACAGUGUUACCCAAGGUAGCUGGUUCAAUGUGGACAUCCGCACUGUGUAUCUCCAUAUUUAAUCAGAUGAAUGCCAAAUCUGACUCCAUUGGAUCCACUUGAAUAAUUGCAAUGAAACAGAUUACUUUUGAUGUUGAGUGUUAGAGCUAGUCAGGGAAGAAAACAGACUUAGAAAUGCAUAAUGAAAAAUUUGGAGUAGGAAAACAAAGACUUGGCAGCAGCACUCUAAACAGAACGAACAUACAUAAGAAAGGAGGAACAUCUGGAAUCCAGAAGAGAAUCU
rnacentral:lncRNA from 1 species